GCCAAGGGGGUCCCCAGGGGACCCUCACCACCGGCCCCUGAGCCUGGAGAACUUCAACCUUCGGUGAAAAGGCAGGGGUUUCUGCCCCUGACCUACUGCCUCAGUAAUUUUGGGCUGGAGGUGGCCAAGCUGUCCAUUCCCAACCUCAUCCUCACACUUGACCCUGGAGCCGAGAUGCCGGGCUCUGUCUAGGGUUGUGGGCACCUCUGUCUGGGCUUGACCAGCGCCCACCCCCGCCCCCGCCCCCGGCUGACCCCGUUGGCUGCAGAAGGGCCACAGUAGAUGCACUGUCCCGGAGCAAAGCACCCCCUGGGUGACGGGGACGCUUCUUCCAAAACUCCAGCUGACCACAGGUGGACAGGCAUGCGAGAGCCUGGGGUCACAGCUGGGAGCCCCAGGGGAUGAGGGGUCUGGUACCUGCCUCCAGGGCCCCUGCACACAGUGCCCGCCCAGGGGUAGGCCUGAGAGCAGGAACCUCCACCAGAAGGUACUUCCAGGGAGGCAGGCGGCUCCAACCGCUGUCCAUGGUGCUGCCCAGAGCCCAGAGGUGCCAAGGAGAUCCAGGAUGGAAAAUCAGGCACCCAACCAGGGUCUGACCCCAAGACGCAGGGUCUGACCCCACGACCCAGCCCACAGGCAGCAGAGGCCUCAGAGACGCCGGAGCUUCGAUCCCUGGAGACUAAAAGCAGAGCUCAACCGCUGCAAGAAGAGCACGAGGCCUGCAUCCCACUCUCCCCCUCAGGGGCCAGGCCCGGGGAUCCCGGCAGACUGAGCUCAGCUGGCAGAGCGGCCCACCCACGUGCUCCUCCUCUGCAGGGCCGGGCUCGGGGGUCCCGGACACCACGGCUCCCGAUCACAGCAGGCACCGCCAGGCUGCAGGUGUGUCUUCACAUGCCCUGGGAAGUGCGCUCUGGUUAAGAUGAUCGUCAUCACGGCCUCCUGCACAGAACACACUUCUCCAGAAACAUGUAUGUGCAGCCACGGCUAGCGCACCGCGGACCCCAGCCCCUCACUCAUGGGACUUUGGGGGAUGGUGAGCUCAGUCACCCACAGGCGGUGCCACCAGGGCUACCCAGAGGCCAGGGAGCUUCCGGAGGCUCCAAACUUCUGUUUCAAGGCAGGAAAACAGCAGGGAGUUGUGUGGGAGCGGAUGUGACCCUGGACACCACUCAGGUGCCUAGAGCCGGGCCAGAGGCGGGGGAGACAGCACCAGGAAGAAGAUACAAACAGGCAUCCAGUAAACACAUCCAGAACAAAGCAAUUUCUGACACGUGAUCCACAGCUGCAGCCACAAGACGGCCCACUGCC